GUGCUUGCUUCGGUGGCACAUAUACUAAAAUUGGAAUGAUACAGAGAAGAUUAGCAUGGUCCCUGUCAAGGAUGACACGCGAAUCUGUGAAGUGUUCUACAUUUUU